AAGGCCCCCCUGCUCCUGGGGCCACUUCACACCCUGAACCCCUCCCAGCGCUGCGGCACGGCCGUGCUCCGUGUAGUAUCCUGUGAGUAAGGGUCUGCGUGCUGCCUUGCGUGCUGGCACGGCACAGCCCACAUGCAGCUCAGCCCCUUGCAUCACAGCACAGCCAUGCAGCAGCGUGGAAUAGCCGUGUAGUAUCCUUUGAGUAGCCAUGGAGUAUCUUUUGAGUAGCUGUGUAGCCUCCUAUGAGUAUAGGAGCCUUGAGCCUGCAUGCAUCCUGUCAUGAAACACUCCCAGAGUGUGCAGUCCAGUCACAGCAUGACUCUGUAGCACUUCAGAGUACUGGUGUAGUAUCUUAUGAGUAACACCCCCGCUACGGCCUGUUGCACUUCCUUGUGCUCUUCUAUGAGCCCAUCACAUGCAAAUCACCACCUGGACUGUGCUGUGAUCGUACAGCACCUUGGAGUAGCUGUGGAGGAUCCUUGGAGUAGCUGUGUGAGGUCCCUGGAGUAGGAGCCUGUGAGGAGGAAGAGCAGCGUGUCCCAUGCCACGUUGCAGGGGGCCACAGCUCUGUCUGUGCAAGGAAAGCCCCAGGGGUUGAGCAUAAACCUUGAGUAAGGUUUGAGUAGAGCUCGGCCACCCCCUCUGUACCAUUGUAGGGAAUGGCCAAAUUCCCUAGGGUGAAAUUCCCCCCUAGGCUCCCCAAUUAUUGUCGUGCCUUUUGUGUUAAAUUCUACAGUUCCAUUAAAAACCUUGCUUUGUUACAAAAAUGCCAUUUUCCCCUGCAAAUCCUUGGGCUUUUUCCUCACAAUGAUUACACUCUAUCACAUUUUCUGUGGAUUUUUCCUCUGUUUAAUUUGGAUUAUUCUGAAAUUGCUAACCCUUCUUCUCACCAAGCAAAGGGGCUGCUUUCAACCCAAAAAGCCCCAAAUCCUUUGGUUUUGUUGGUUUGUGUUUGGAUUUUUUUCCCCCAAACCCACCGAAGCUGAAUUGAUUUUUGCAAUCGGUCGAAUUCAUGGUUUUUGAGAACAAAAUGCAGCUUGGCUGCGCGCCGGGGCUGCCGCGCUGUCGCCGCUUUGUGCCACUUAUUGUGUCUUUUUUGGGUCACUUUGGGCAAAACAGGGCUUUUUUUUUUAGUCUUCUUUCAAUGAGCCCAGUGUGCAGGCCAGGGGAGGAGCCAUGGCCUCACAGGCGCUGGAUUUCCAGAGUUUUUAACCAUUUCUUGCCAUAAUUAACUCAGAAAUCACUGCUGGUUUUGGCCUGCCCCUGUCGGUUGCUGGUCCUUUAAGAGCAGCAAAAAAAAAAAAGCAAAUUUGAGGGAAUAAUUGCUAGUUUGCUGUGCUUUGUUAAAAAAUAAGUAUUUAAGAUUUGGCAUCCGCAUUUUUGUCUGUUCAUUUGUGAAAUCUGUAAUUCCAAGGGCAAUUCAGCCCCGGUGAGAAGGGAAA